CUUAAAUCAUUUCCAUGGAAAGUACCAGCUACAACGACAAUCUUAGACCUGAGUGAUAACCAUUUGGAGGAGCUACCAUCUGACUUGCUUGCCAACCUCAGCAAUCUUCAAGAAUUGAGAUUAAACAAAAACAAGCUGAAAGACCUUCCUCCAACCCUAUUUGAUCGCAAUCCACAUUUGAAUAUCCUAGACCUGAGUGAUAACCAUUUGGAGGAGCUACCAUCUGACUUGCUUGCCAACCUCAGCAAUCUUCAAGCAUUGUACGUUGAAUUACGUUUGCCA